GGGCUUUCUGUUUUUAUUUUUCCUGUGGUCCCAGAACAUCCUCCUCCACACUCACACUCGGCCCCCCCGCCUCCCAAGUACACGUGCACAGACCUACCUGCACAGCCAGAGAUGCAGGGUACAGCUGUGGGGGUGAAAAACGUGGACCAGAGUUGGGGUUAAACUAGAGAAACUCUGAGAAGACUAUUUGGACAGCAGGGGAGAGCAAGGAGGUGAAGGUUAUUUGGGAAUUCCAAAGCCCAACGCUUCUACUGUCCCAGCCUCUCCCUGAUCUCUCUGGUUCGGGAUUCGGGAUUCAAGGAGAGAAGAUCGAGCUCCAGGCCCCUGAGUGGGGAAACAUCCCCCCCCCACCAACCGUCCCCUCCAACCCCCCGUCCCCAUCCUAUGGCCUCCGUAAUUUUUCUCCCUCCCGUUCCCAGGCACUGGAUAAGGGAAGGAAGAGAACCAAGUCUGGAGGUGGGAACAGUAGAACGGGGUGGGGAGGCAGAGUCGGAAGGAGAGAAGGAAGGGAGAGGAUCUCUGGAGCGGUCGGG